rnacentral:rRNA from 1 species
CCCUUAGAUGUUCUGGGCCGCACGCGCGCUACACUGACGAAUGCAACGAGCUUAUAACCUUGGCCGAAAGGUCUGGGUAAUCUCCAAAUUUCGUCGUGAUGGGGAUAGAUUAUUGCAAUUAUUAAUCUUCAACGAGGAAUGCCUAGUAAGCGCAAGUCAUCAGCUUGCGUUGAUUACGUCCCUUCCCUUUGUACACACCGCCCGUCGCUCCUACCGAUUGAAUGGUCCGGUGAAGCGUUCGGACCGUGGCCUUUGGACGGUUCGCCGUCUGUUGGCUGCGGGAAGUUCGUUAAACCUUAUCAUUUAGAGGAAGGAGAAGUCGUAACA